UGACUGCCCUUCUCUCUCUUUGCCUAGUUAUUGUUUGUCUUGUCUCUCUCUCUCUCUCACCCUUUCAGUGGCGACCAACAUGCUAAUGAAAUGUUAACAUCACGCACUUGUACAAUGAGGGAGAAACCAGCAUGAUGUACAACUGUAAUUUGGCUGAAUAACAGCGGCUGAAAUUGCUUUGCUUUAUCAAAACUGACGCGACCGCGCGCCGCGCGCCGCGCACCCCCCUCCGCUCUUCGACGUUAAUGACCAAACUUGGCUAAUAACUGAGAACGCUUACCGCUCCACACCUCUUCCCAACCACAACGUUUACGUGAUUGUGCUACAGUCCUAACACCAAAGUGUCUGGAACUUUUCUGAUGGCUAGGUCUGAUGUUAUGCUAAGUUUAGAAAGCGCCACACUGUAGUGGAGACUGAUAGACAUUUGUCAGCUGCGCAUUCACUUUUACCUCUUGUCACUGUAGGUGUGCAUGCUGAAGGCCUGAAGCAGAUUAAACGAGGCUCGGCUCUUGCUAAACAAAGCGACGUGAUUUGAGGAAACCGCUCCGGUUGCCAUUUCGCCAGGUGCUGGUUAUUUUUUACAUCAAGACAGCGCUGUCUGGCAGCUCCACGAUCCGAGCGAGAUGUCCUGUGAGGAGAGAUCUGUCUUACAGGAGCAGCGCUCUGAUUGUGAAUUAGGGACCUGAUCCGCUGGCCUGUCCUACUCUGGUAUGGAUCAGAGGGAAGCAGUAGUCAUACCUCAGCACUGUCAGGGCCCUCUUUUAAUAGAGCGCUGCUUUGCCAACAAAAUCCAACACCAGACAGCCUCUAGUCAUGACAGUAGGAACGGGGGGAGGGAAAAAAGGGGAAGUAAGGAGCGAGACAGGACAGGAGCGCCGGUCGGAUCCUGUAUUUUUUUGUGUUGGGCCAUCAGAGCGUGUCGAGCCGGGGCAGUCAGCCAGCAGCCGGCUAAUGGGCAGCGCUGGGUCGACUGUGACUAAAGGAACAGCGACAGAUGCCAUUAUCUCAGCCUCGUGCAGAUACGACGUCCUGGACAGCUCAGCCCAGUGCCGAAGUUGCGUGUGAGCACUUGUUCAAACUUAAUGGAACACGAUGGAUCGGGUAAUCGCCGGCUCUAGGAUGGCCCGUUCCUCUUCUCGCCUGUCCGAGGUUGUGCACACACACAUACACAUACAUGAGACACGUCGCUCAACCAGCCUGUUCCUCAUUGCCUAUUCACAGGCAUCAUGAAAAACAUAUCGCUGGCCUUCCGCCCUCAUCAGGCUUGGGUUUAAAACAUGUUCUUCUCGCAUCGCCAGGGAUGUUCUGGCGGUGGGGCGGAGAGCGUGCGACCCAGGCUUCGAGAAGGAGUCAUUAGGCAACAUUUUUUGGGGUAUAACAAAUGUGAUCCGUGCUCGCUUUGGUGCAGUGAUGUGGGACAGCUAUAUGGCUGUUGACAGUGGAUUGGCACCCAUCAAGUCAUUUGCUGGAGUCUCCAGUCAGACGUGAAGCUGCUGAGACUAACCAGAAAGGGGGAGAAUGGGCAUAUGCAUUUGAAUGCGGUUCCUCUUGCAUUUUUUCUCCCUCGACUUCCUCUUCCUCCACAGGCAGUGGCAGAUGAAGUGACCGUGCUGUUCUUUCCCAAGUCUGCCUGCCAUUCUGACCGACUGUCUCUGUCUUCCUUUUCUAUUUCUCUUUUGGUGUCUUAUAGGUUUAUCCUGACACUGCUGGACUAAUCAAAGACUCCUGAAAUCUCUCUUCCUCCAGUCCUUCAGCCAAGAGUCCCCUUUCUCUCUCCUGUCCUCCGUUCAGUGUCUCAACUGCUCGGUACUCCUGCACUAGUGUGUUGGCAGCCCAUAAGACGCUACUGAUGAUGGUGACAGAUUAUGGACAUACAAACCGACAAGAUGAGUGCUAAGAUCUUGCAUUCUUAUACAUCUUUUAUCGCUACAAUGAUAGGUGGUCCAACUCCUACACAUUCUCUUACAACUGUUGAGACCAGCGGGUCAAGGUUUGGCUGGUUAGGAUGGUUCUUUGGCUGCUGCGGGUUGAUGUUGCGAACAUGUGUAUUUCUCCAUUGAUGGCCAUUAUAAAGUAGCUUUUUUUUGUAAACAACAUAUACUGAUAAUAUUUUAUUGUAUUAGAGUAGCUGUUUUCUAAGUGCCCACGUUUUCUUUGUCCAAAAUCAUAUUGACAGAGUAUGUAUCAUCUAAUGAAAAACAAACUUUAAAGAUUGCUCUAUAAAAAAUAUAUUAAUACUUUUAUUCAGCAAUGAUACAUUAAAUUGAUCAAAAGUGCCAAAAAUAUAUUUAUAUACAUAUUUUCUUUUGAGCUUUCAAUCCGUCAUAGAAUCCUCCUAUAACAGUUUCUAUAAAAACAUUAAGCAACACAGUCACAAUUUGAUUUGGGGAGCAAUUCUCACUAUUAAUUAUUAAUUAUGAUUUUUUGCCUUAAUAAACGCCUAAUCUGCUGCUUAUUAAUAGUUAAGGUAGUUGUUUAGUUUAGGUAUGGGGUAGGAUUAAGAGAUCUAGAAUAUGAUCAUGCGGAAUAAGGCAUAAAUAUGUGCUUUAUAAUUAAUAAACAGCCAUUAUGCUAUUAAUAUACAUGCAAGCAACAAGUUAAUAGUAAAAAUGAUCCUUAAAAUUAAAUGUUACCAGCAACACAACUGUUCUUACCUUUUUAAUAAUAAGAAAUGAUUUUGAGCACCAAAUCAGCAUAUUAGAAUGAUUUUUGAAGGAUCAUGUGACACUGAAGACUUUAGUAUUCGUUUUAUGAAUACUGUGUAUCUGACAAACUACAUACGGAAACAUACAGAUUUUCACAUACUAUAUAACAGGGAGGUAUAUUUGUGUACAGUGAGUGUAAAAUUUACCUUUUUUGAUAUUCUUCCAUAUAUGCUAACUUUACAGCUCAGGAUAGUCACUAGUGAAGAUUUUGAGACUUUGUGUGUUUGUCUCUGUAAACCUCAGUAUAGGGACCAAUUCUCACUAUUAACUAGUUGUUUAUUAGCAUGCAUAUUAUUAACAUAUUGGCUGGUUAUUAGUACUUAUAAAGCACAUAUUCUGCAUGACCAUAUUCUACAUCCCUAAUCCUACCCAAUACCUAAACUUAACAACUACUUUACUAACUAUUAAUAAGCAGAAAAAUUAAGAGUUCAUUGAGGCAAAAGUCAUAGUUAAUGCUUUGUUUAUAGUGAGAAUUGGACCUUAAAUGCUGGCCUUUGUCUCUUUAGCCAGUCAAAGUUGUGAUAAAGUAGUGAUAUUUACCGGUCAUGUGGUUGGCUUAAACAAUUCUGUGCCCAAAACUGAGUGCACUAAAGAUGGCAUCAUGCGGGUUGUGUAUGUCCGAGGAGUCCUGCGGCAGCCUAGCAACUGUUAUCGAGGUGAAUGGUUUCUUUCUCUGGGUUUUAUAGGCCUCCUUGGUUCAGGUUUAAGGUGUACAGUGGUGGAGAAUGCAGGUUGCAUUUUACUGCAGUGUGAGAGUUGAGGACAACUCACCAUCAUGGUAAUAAAUCCCACAGAAACCACAUCUCAAACUGUAACACCUCUCAGAUGGUCAGGAACAGCACGGUCACUGCCGGAGCACUCCCGGAGCUGAUUCCCUAAGAAAUGUGGCCUACUCAGGCAGCUCCAAAUGGCACAGCACAAAGUUUCUGCUCUCAGCCUACCUUUAGUGCUCUACUUUUUUCACUGGCCUUUAGUACCAUAGUACUGUGGUACGCAUUUUAGACAAACAGUUUAUUUAGAUAAAAUCAACGCAUUUCUCACAAUUUCUGAGCCUUGUGUGAGAAUAUAUGCAUGCAGCAUAAUGCGCAGCUAGUAUACUUUCAAUGUGAUACAAGACCAUGCAGAUUAUUGGUCAUACUUCAAUCAGAUUUUUAAAAUAUAUUGGGUAAAUAGAGUUAAGUAUUCCACAGAGAAGUAUUAAAGGAAUAUUUUUCAUGUUCAAACUAGCUAAACUCAGUUGAUGGCAUGCGUGGCACAAUAUUGAUGGUAAAAAAAAUUGUCUCAUAUCUCGUUUUUUUUUUUUUUAAAGCAAAAAGUGAGGUUGCCUGCAAGGCACUUAAAAAUCAAGCUAAUUUUAUUUUGUUUUUGUUUUGUUUUGUAGAAAUUAAAAGCAACACUUUCAUUACUUCUGUUAUAUUAUAUUAUAUUAUAUUAUAUUAUAUUAUAUUAUAUUAUUAUAUUAUGAAAGUGAGUAUUUUAACAUUUAUGGAUUGGCGUCAUUCACUUCCAAAGUUCCUCACUGUAACAUUCAUUUUAGUGUCUUUUUUUUUCUUUUCUUUUUUUCUUUCUUUCUUUCUUUUUUUUUUUUAGAGGUAGACAACAAGUUACUGUGGAGAGGACUGGAAUCAAGCCUACAUCCCCAACAUAACCAGCACAGCUCAACAUGUCAGGACCAGCAUUUAUUUAUUUUUUUAUUUUUUUUAUUUUAUUUCAUUUUUGUUACUGUACCAUAUGUACCAUACGUGCCACUCUUGCUCCAGCCAGUCCAUCAGCAGAAUUUUCAGUAUCAGCCCAAAGGUUAUAAUUGAGCAGCCAGUUGUGCAAGUGCAUGUCAGAUCUCUGGCAAACAUACCGUUUUUAUUGAUGUUCUUUUUGCUGAUUUUAAAAGUGAUGACUCCCUCGGUUUUUUUUGUGCGAGAUGGUGUUUGCUGCAACUGUCAGGCUUAAGACCUUCGCCGGAUGACGGAUAGAGAGUGUGAACGACUGUGGAGCAAGAGAAGUGACAGUUGGAGACCUGCUGCUAUGGGCACAGUGUGCGUUUGAGAGUGCUUACAUAGCAGUGAAGCUGCAAACUAAGCAAGAGCAAAGGACGGAGAGAAUUACUGCAAAGACUGACUGCAAAAAUGAAAUAUAUAUCAUGGAGAACAAGCGAUGCAAACAAGAUGCCGUGAGGAUAAAAGUAUAUAAGGAGCGUGUGUCGGAGAAGACAGAGUCUAAAGCAGAAGUUCAUAUGGGAUGCAGCUGGCCGCACCAAGAGAUAAUUUGGCACAAACGCUGUUUUUGAAGAAUGCUAAGUUGCUUGUUUUGCGUUGAUGUCUAAUUUGUCCACUGACGGUCUGGUUGGGGGGCAUCUCGGUGGAUCUCGGAGAACGUGAAUGGUUGAUGUCAGGAAAGAUCCUGUUUUCAUAACUCACAGACUCAAAGAAUGAACUGAGGAUGUGUGGAAGGGUUCUGAUAAUCUGUUUCUCUGCAGGGCUGAGAAUAGAAGGAGAGAGAAUGUGAGAUAUAUGGAUAAAAAAGAUGCAGAGUAGAGUGAAUGGACAGAGACAUGCAGGGAAUGAGGAGGAAGAGGAGGAGAGGAAGGCGAUGGGGGAGCUGAGUGUAGAGACAGCAGCGAUAAGGAAGUCAAGUUAGCAGAGCAGCGAUGGAGCAGCAAGAGGUGUGGAGGUGAGGAGAAAAAGCUGCGGUGAGCGUAUGUAGACGGAAAAACAGAACAGACAGGCA